rnacentral:rRNA from 1 species
UACGGAAGGCAGCAGUGGGGAAUAUUGCACAAUGGGCGAAAGCCUGAUGCAGCUAUGCCGCGUGUAUGAAGAAGGCCUUAGGGUUGUAAAGUACUUUCAUCGGGGAGGAAAAACAAAACUAAUAAUUUUAUUUCUUGACGUUACCCGAAAAAGAAGCACCGGCUAACUCCGUGCCAGCAGCCGCGGUAAUACGGAGGGUGCUAGCGUUAAUCAGAAUUACUGGGCGUAAAGAGCACGUAGGUGGUUUUUUUAAAGUCAGAUGUGAAAUCCCUGGGCUUAACCUGGAACUGCAUUUUGAAACUGAAAUACUAGAGUAUCGUAGAGGGAGGUAGAAUUCUAGGUGUAGCGGUGAAAUGCGUAGAUAUCUGGAGGAUACCUGUGGCGAAAGCGGCCUCCUAAACGAAUACUGACACUGAGGUGCGAAAGCGUGGGGAGCAAACAGGGAUUAGAUACC